rnacentral:misc_RNA from 1 species
AUGUUCCUCCAAAUCGGAUUUUUUUGUUUGUUUCUUUGUUCUCGACGUUACCGAAUCCCAGGACGCCUGUCACUGAUUAUGCUCUCUAAAGAGCGUAAUAAAAAAAAGAAGGACAGGUUUUUCGCUUUGCACUAUACUUUGCUGAGGGUCGUCCGCUGGACACUUAAAAGCACUCAACACGUCGUAGAUAGUUGGAAAUCACUUCAGUUUUCGUUCUACAGGGUGAUCUGCUGUAUAUGUUCCGAUUGUUUUGUCGAGUCAGGUUGCAAUGUGACGCUAUGGCCCAGAGUGCGUUUCCAGCAUCGUUUCGGUGCGGGACCUUGUUUCUUCCGGCUACCCAAUCGUCCUGGUAGUCCCCAGAUGGAUCAACGGCAUUGGUGGAUCGAAAUCGCUUUUAGUUCCUUCCAGAUGGGCCGUUCCGUCUUGAAUCAAACGUGUCCAACAGGCCACGUAAAAUUCGUCGAGCAAACUGGAGUUGCUGCAAGUUCAUCCGGAACUUUUUGCGGACGAUUAAGUGGCGAUUCGCAAACUUAUUUGACCAGUGCCAAAGCUCUGACGCUUUACUCCAAUCCGAUGUCGGAAGCGGAUCACUUCAACGCUUACUUUGACGUCCUGUCGACGGAAGCUCUACGGAAGCGUUAUCCGGAGAUAUUGAGAGCCAACAGUUUGGCAUCCGAUGAUGAAACUCACGGCAGACAAUGCGAUACAUUGAUCCGCAAUUGCCCGAACAUUUGCCGGCUGUCAUCUCCGUUGCAUCCGGUCAGCGCUUAUCCGCGGAAUGUUACCUGUCACUAUCGAGUGCUUUUCGAUCGCGACGAUUGGCAAGUAGUUCUUGGUGGACAGCCGGGCGACCGCUACGAUCUGGGCUUGCAUCAUCCGCAUCAACAACAUUGUCACGACAACACUGAUCGACUGGUCAUCUACGAGAAACUGAUUGGCCAUCAGCAAUACCAACAAGUGGCCAAAUUCUGCGGACGUGGUACUUUCCCUAAGAUUAUCGCCCAAAGUGGUCAAGUCAUGGUGGAAUUGAUUAGCUCGCCGACUGGAUUUUUUCAUCAAGGCUUCCGGCUAAGCGUCACACACCAGCGGAGGAGAAAAUCGGAUCAUCAGAGUAUCGUUUCCCCUUGUUAUCAUUCUAUAACAGCCAGCGGACAGUUUUAUCAACAAGGAACUAUCACCUCCCCUCGGCAUUGGUUUCCUCGUAACGUCGAUUGCACCUGGUCACUAACAUCCAGCCGGAUCUGGCUGGAAAUCCAAUCGAAAAGCAAUAAGUUGUCAAGUAGUAGCUGGGCAACGUCAAGUGGACAUUAUAACAAUGCUACGUGUUUCCAUCGCUUGCUGGUGCAUCGAACAUCUUCGGAUCCGGCGGAGCGGAUGACUAUUUGCGAACACAACUCGACAUCCAGCAGCACUCCGACGCGGACGCUACUCGUUCGCGAUCAGGUUCAAUUGAGAUUUUUCAGCCAACGAGGAUCGAUGACUGGAUCCGACAUGGAUUUCAGUCUCUUCUACAUGCUCCUUCCGGAAGAAGUUCCCGUCGUGGUGGAUACGCUGUGCGACAGGAUCUUGGAAGAGCCCAAAGGCACAAUCGAUUUGAUUGGAGAUCGACUUCUCUUGAUGCGACACAAACAACUGAAAUGUCGUUACAGAUUCCAAGCGCCUUACGGAGACGAUUACCGCAUCCGCAUCGUUAUCCGGCAGAUGGUUUUCGACCCAAUCCGACAAUGCGACCCCGGCCGUCGUGACGAGUGUUCCAUCGAUUCAAACCGACAGGAUUUCGAUUGGCUUCUUGUGUCGGAUCGGGAUCUGCUCCAUUGUUUCUGCCAAUCCGCUGGUAAAAAUCAGGAGCCAACAAUUAUAGACAGUGCGUCAAAUCGGCUCGAUAUCCAGCUCGAUCUGAAGCAUAUCUACGAUCAGUCGUACAAGGAUACCAACAUCUAUCGCUUUCAGAUCGAUUACAGUUGGAUAGAGGACAGUGGAUGCGGUAAUCCGAUCGAAGACGAUCAGGGUGGAAUGAUCCGCUGGAGAGCAGACCCUAAGGGCAGCAAUCAGUCGUGCACCUGGCUGAUUGAGGUGCCCGACAACGAUCGCAUCUUGUUGAAAAUCAAUAUGGCCUUUGCGGGAAAUUCAUCAGAUCAUUGCCACCGGAAUCAUCACGUGUCUUUCGGCUAUCACGGACGUAAAAAUGACAGCCAACAGCGCCAGCAACGACUCCGUCAGGUGGUGACGAUGGAAAACUACGGAAAAGAUGAGUGCUCCAUGAACGGCGAAUUCAUUAGUCCGUUCGGUUUGCGCUACCUGCACGUCCAAAUGGAAACAAAAUCAGCCAAUAAUCCACGGGCUCGUUUCCUGCUCAAGUGGAACGUCCUGUUCAACAGUGUUUCAAGUUUGUCCAGUCAAGAAUCUUCUUCCGGAGUAACUAGUGCGGAUAACGAAGUAGCACCUGGUGGCGGUAUGUUGUUAUUACCAUUAUUCCCGUGUCCGGAUAGUAACUGGUCGAUUCCGGAGAGUCUUGUCUGCGACGGACGGAUCAACUGCCCGCAGCAAAGUCUCUUUGGUUACCUGCUGGACGAGGAAUCUUGCACGUUGCGGAAUAGUAGCUAUAACCAAGAUUAUUAUUACCCUUGGGUGAUGGUGUUGGUCGUCAGUUUCGGAUUCAGCGUCGUUAUUUCCCUGGCCAGCGUGUCGUCUCACGUCAGGAAGUGGAAAUCCCCCAUCACAUCAGCUGUUGAAUAAUGUUUUGAUCUGUGAGGGGGGAGGAGAAUGUUGUUCCUUUACUUUCUUUUUGCUUUUAUUUUAUUUGAAUUAUUUGUUGGAUCUUAUUGCCACCUUUGAUGGUAGAGAAUUAUUAUGUACGAUGCUCUCUAAUGGUUGUCUGAAUUUUACAUGACGUCACUUUCUAGUUGUCUCUCCGUAGGCCUGGCAACGUUUUCUCUAUUCGGCUGCAUUUGUUGUUCUCUUUGCUGGAAGCCUAAAACGAUAUUUCCGUAUGUGUGAGCAUGUCCUGACAAAGUGUUUUUUAGGGGAAAGAAAAAUAUUAUCUAUUAUACCAUACAUAUGUACUGUAUUAUACACAAAAUGGAAAUGUGGAACGGAGACUUUUUUGACAGCUAGAAAAGAACCUAUUUCCGCUGGAAGGAUAGUUUGCCAUCAACCUGUGUCACAUUACCUCGCCUACAUUCGUCGGGGACUCUGAAUCUACAUCGGAAUUGUUGCUUUUCUAGUACGAAAUUGACAUAAUGACAUGAUACGACCCCCUUCCCCAUUUUCAACAGGGUCGUUCGAAACCAAUUUCACUGAAGUUCACUAACGAGGCAAACAUUCAACAGCGCCGAUUAAAGAAUUUGCUUCGUAUCCUACAACGUUUAGCUAGUUGUGUAUAAGUAUGGCGUUUAACUUUAAUGAUAGGCAGUACCCACUAACAAGUGGAAUGUCUUGUAAAGAUUUUCUUUUGUUGGAUUUUAAUUGCAAGAGUUUAAGGUGCGUGGAAGUACAAGCUUUUCUUCGUUAUGCGGAAAAACCCCGCUCAAUAGAUUUAAAAAAAAAAACUUUUCCCCGCUCUUUCAACACGUUUAACUUUUCCUUCCCUUUUUUUUGUUCUAGUUGUUAUUUAAACAAUUUGCAACGUUUCACGCAAUUGGUACAAGAUAUUUACCUCGAAUAGCUUGGCUCUAGGUUAUACCUGACUGACACAACAGUCGUCUAAUGAAUCGGACAGUUGUGCAUGGGUGUUUGAACGGCGCCUAAUUGAAGACGAACUUUUUUUCCGAUUCCACGCAUUUGGGAAAUUGUAAGGCAGUGGUUUACGUAAUGAAAUAACUGUCUAUCUUUAAAAUCUCCCUGCCCCCUUCCCUUAAAAAAAAGAAUCUACAGCUAAUUACUAAAACGGUUUUUAUCGUCUUUCACGGCUGCCUCGACCUCCAGAAACAAAAACGUGACACGAGUUCGAUAGCAGUAUGGAAGGUACUAAUGUGGUAUGUCGUGAAGUCAAUUGGAAAAUCUUACGCCGUCGAAAUUUUUUAUGAAUUGCUUCUCGUUGUUAAAUAUCGUCGUGUAAACAGAUUUAAAACAUUUCGCCUUACCUGAAAACGGCGCUGCCCGUGUGGCUCCCCAGCUAUUUUCCUAUACACAAGUUUGGCAACUACUGGAUAAGAAUUAAAAUUUUCCUUUGUUGGUUGAACCUUAAGCAAAAUGGGAAAUGGCGUGAGAAGAGAAACACUCAAAAGGAACAAGAGUAUCUGCCAUGGUUUGAUUCAUACUUUUACACAAGACGUUAUUUUUCGUACUAUGAUAAUGGUCCAAACUCCGCAGAUGAAUCUCAACGAGAAUAAUUCCAAACGGAAGAAAAUUCGAGUUCUGUCUAGAAAGGUAUGAACAUACAGUUUAGAAAAAGUAAAUGUACCGAAACUCGUAAAAAACUGACUUUGUCGAAGCUGGAAGAAAUGCUCGAACGUCAAGGUUGACUCCAAAAACGUACUCAAACGGCUUGCUGGCAUCGUUUAUCAAACACGUCUUCUUCCUGGGUUUUUCGACGUAGUACGCCAUCAUUUAGUGACAACAUUAAAUAUUUUGACGAACCGAAAACGAAGUUGUAUUCGGGCCACUAUUUCACCUAUUCCACCAAUUCAUAGAAUGCUAGAAAAAAGUUGAAUACUGAUAGCAAAACUACAUGACAAAUCAUAUAUAUACAUACAAAAUCAUCUUUUUCUAUCUCUAGCUUGAGAUUUUGUCAUGCAUUCGAAGCUGCAAUCUCUUGUUGUAUACCGUGGAAACGAAGACUGAAAAUGCUGAAACGUUCAGAAUCAACGAAUUCAUACUCAUGAGACAACUGAAAAUGGAGUAGCUUUUCAUCAACUACCCUUCCUCGUCCGGAGUGGGAAAAUGGCGCGUCGAGGGGUGAAACGUCGAAAGAGUCCGGAUGCUUCCACCCUUUCCAAUAAUACAAGUAUCGAAUUAUUCAAAUCAACAAUUUAAAAAAAUUUAUACAUCAACUUUCACGAAAUAAAAAAAGCUUAAUUUUAAAA